CGAAUGGGAAAAAAUGCGCUUGACUGCGUAUAAUCGAGCAACUCUGCUCUGUGUACAAGGUGAUACACACACACACUUUUUAUUUGCGAUUUUGAAAACGACCUAAAUAAUAUGGACGGCGAUUUUAAUUUUUUAUUGAUUUUUAUAAUCAGUGUACAUAGAAAACCUCGAAUUAAGCAACGGAAGGAAAAUUUAAACUGUCUACCUUGUUUAUUGAAACUUCAUCACUCCUAAUCUUUAAAAAUUAAUUUAAAUAUUUGAUAAAUAUAUUAUUAAUAAAUAUUAUAUUUUCCAAAAUACUUAUAUUGUAUAGAAGAAAACGAGCUUAAAUAAUUAAAACAUACAAGAUUGUAAGUAACAUAAUGUUGGUUGCUAUUCUUAACCCUGGAAAGUCAUGCCUCGUCGUUUCGACGACGCGAGUGUUUAUUUUGUACAAAAGCCGAAUGAAUCAGGGCUGUGAAAAUUUUAUUCAUUUAAUAAAAGAUUUAAGAAAAAUUUUUUGAUAUUGUUUUAUUUAGAAGAUAUAUAAACCAGGUAAUGUGAAUAUAUUGAUUUUAGUAGGUUUUGAUAGGUAGGAUAAUAUAUUAAGGACUUUGAGUAAUGCCGUCGUCGAAUCGACGAGGGAUGACCUCUACUUUUUAAAAAUAGCGAUGACCUUCCAGGGCUAAGAAUGUGAAGGUUGCUGUGUUAGCGCAUGAAAGUUGAAAAUUUUCAACUUCUGUGCGUCUUCGAAUCCGAGUUCGAAUUUCGGAGCGUUGGUUGCGAAAACAUGCGAAAGCUAUGUAGCUCAUCUCAUAAGAACAUGUGUAUUCAACUCAACUGUCUAACGUUCGCAUUCGCAUUCGCGAGCUAUGUAGUUUCUGCUUUACGUUCGGUAUGGAUUCAUUUCACCAUACACCACAUACUAAAGCUGAAACUACAUAACGUGCGUAAACGUAUCCAUACGUCAAUCCUAUAUUCGAAAGCUUACGCAUGCUUAUGCAACCAGCGCACAGUGGGAGAACUGGCCAAUCUGACGGCGUUUUAGCAAGAUUAUAUAUUUCCGUAUCCCUCCAAAAUUUUCUGUUUUGUAAGAGCUUUCAAACUUACCAUAUGUAUCAGUAAGUGCACUAAUUAUUUUCGAUCUCUUUUUCAGUGCAAAGUUUGUUUACACAAAAAAAGAGUGCGUGGAGUCCCUACGCGCGGAUGAAGUUACACUUCUUAGUGAUAUUCCAAGAAAUUCAUAUCAUUUUGUAUGAAAGAAAACUAGCGAGAUACACUUUCUUAAAUUCAUAUUUUAUAAACCAAAGUCCAAAUCAAUUAUCAUUUCUGGUUUCUGACGGAUUGAUGUCUAUAAUAUUUACAAUUGGAUUAUGAUAACUAAAAUACGAUAUGAAAUGUCUUACAUCUAUUUUAUCUAUAUUUCUCGCGAAUACCGCAUCAAUAGUGGUAGCUCCUUUUGUCGUAGGAUCAUUUCUUCAAUUGGUCAUUUCUAAUGAAAAUUUCUCUCUGAGGAAUGCCAGUAAUGGUUCAGCUUCUGGCAAUGAGAAAUUUACAUUAAAAUCUCCCGCAAGGAGUACCAGUUGUUCGCUAUACUCUACUGGUUCUCCGAUAAUAUCUGCAAAAGCUUGCGAACCUGCAGUUGACAACGGUAAUAAAGCUUUACCGAUGAACAAUUUUAUAUCUUUCAUCGAUGAAUUUGGUGAUAUAUAAAUGGCAAUUAAAUUCAAUUUUUUAUUAUUAUGAUUAUCGCUAGGGUUCAUUUUGCAAUUCUUGUUGAUGUUGAUAUCGUCACAUCAGCAUCACUCGCGUACGGAGCCUUUAUAUCUAAAUGAGGAGUGAGAAUAUGACAUUUGUCUUGUUCAUUGUGAUAAAUAGCAACGCCUGAAUUUCUUGUUUCAUUUCGUUGAAAUCUUACAACGAAAUCAAAAUUUGGUACGGAUACAGGAGGCUCGUUGUCGUUCAUAAAUGUUUCUGAUAACAUCAAGAUGUUGGACUGUUUAAACACUCUAUCUGAGAAAUCAUCAACAUGAGCACGAAGACUUUGACAAUUGAAUGAUAUUAUUGAUAAACAUUUUCUUGUGCUAAGAAACUCGAAUAAUUCUUUUUCUAACGUGACAAUUGGAUUUCGACGUAAUUUUAUCAUUUCAUCUCGCAAAGCGCGACAUGACCUGUCAUUGCUUCCAAUGCCAUGAUAAAAUUUUUUCUGUUUGUUCACUGGGAUAAUGUAAGUUUGUGUGUUUGUUCAAUGACAUAUAAACAUGUACAUACAUAUAAAAUCUUCGUUGCCACGGACAACGAAUGACCGCAAAUAGUAUUUUUUUUGUCACAGACUUGUAAUCAGUGUCGCGUUUUCGCAGACAAAGAGGUCCAUGUCCCCAACUCAUAUUAUUAUGGAUUGUUUUAUGUCUUGAUUCUUACUAAAAUCAAUUGUAGUACAUUAAUAUUUGGCAUCAUAUAUUAGUAGAAUAUUUAAAUACAUUUAAUUAUUUGUAUUUGCUAAUACCCUGCCAACAAUUUCUAUCGCAAAAGUCACUUAUAAGUGACUUCAAGAAGUUACAAUUCAACGCCUGCGAUACAUUUUUUUCAUCGUAGAAGUCACUUUCUUAUAGAGAAGUUGUUCCCCGCGGACGUUACUUUCAGAAGUUACGUAUUAGUGACUUGUGGAAGUUAAAAUUUUCGUUUUUAAAUUUUUUAUAUUUAUUUCAAUUCAAAAUGAAGGGAAAUCCUUUCCUCCAACUCUAUAUAUGAUAUUUUUCUAAAAUUAAAUAUGUUCGAAAUAUACAAAUUUAUUCAUAAUUAUGAGCAUUUAGUAUAAGAAAAUAGACCUACCAGCUGAGAUGUUAUUUUGUCGUUCAACAGCAGCUUCGUGUCAAAAUCAAUAAAGUCCUUGACAUCCAUGAAAUUAAUAGCCUUUGCUGACAAUUCACUCAUUUUAAUUAUAUUUUCAAUAAUAUUUCAAAUUAAAACACCACGAAACAAAUAAUUUUACUAGUUCCAAAAACAAUAUCGCACUUUAGCACUGACCACAAACUGCAGAAGACACAAAACCAAUGAACCAGAUGUCAACAACUUCUUUGUCUUUCUGUUGUUCUCAUCUAAUUUCAUUUUGCAGUCGCUGCGACUUCAACGUCGGUGAUCGCGUUCAUUGUUUAUCUUUUGCAUAACGGGACAACACUCUUUAAUUUAACGUCUGGAAGUGACUUAAAAGUGACGCAUUUGGCGUUUGACACGUGAACGCGACAACUAUCUUUAUUUUAACGUACGGAAGUGACUAAAGCGUAACGUAUUUGGCGUUGGCGAUAAAAGACACUUCCAAAUGUUGGCAGGGAAAGGGUAAAAUAUGUAUAAACAUUUAACUCAACUCUUCUCUCGUACAGUACCCUGAAUGAGAGAAAGUGCUCGUGUGUUUGAACAAGUUUUGUUUUCAGCUAUAUCAUGGUUGUUUGUGGAGUAUUAUUUGGCGUAUUUUAUUUAAAUCACUGAUCAGCAGCCUAAUUAAAGUUUAAAUUAUUAAACCACUCAUUUUUAAAUAAGUAAAACUUAAAAUAUAAGUUUUCUAAACCAAAAAGAUGGAUGCUGUCAAUUCGAAGCACGAAAUAGAAGCUACGCCAACAAUAGUCAACAUCAAGGGCGAAACCAUUGAAUACGUAAAUAAUUGUAGGAUAUAAUAAUAUUAUCUUGCCUUAAAUUAAAGGUACGCAACAUAAUUGGUGUCACUUAUGGAAGCAACGUAGAACUCUCGAAGGCAAGCACGUGAAGAAUUGGAACGACAUGGUGGGUGCUUUUGUAACCGUUUAUCAUCGCGACGUGUGUCAACUGGGUUUUGCCAAUGAGCUAGCGGGCAAAGCAGUUGCAGUAUUUUUGGACUUACCGGCACCAUAGUUGCCCUUAAAUACAGAAAUUAAAAGGAGGACUUUUUUGAUUCAUUUUCACUUUGUAUUGAGGAAUCAUAACGUUGUUGUAUCGCUUUACAAGGACAUAAAUUCACUGAAAUUAGUUCAAUGGAAAUACUACAGCAAGAGCAUGGAUGUUAUGACUAGAACGUUGCCCGUGCUAGAUUUAGAAUUCCUGAAACGUAAGGUAAUUAUUACCAACUUUUAUGUGGUAAAAAUUCAAAUUUUACUUUAUAUUUUAUAGAGACCCUCCUCCCAGAAAUUGAAUGAAUCUAGUACUAGUGAAAUUAAUGAAAGAAAUUAAAAUUAAAUAAAGAAACCAAAAAAGUCCUCACAUAAUGUGCGCAGCUUAACAGUACUGAAAGUGCACAUGUAGUUUUCGUUCGCAGUUUUGGGUGUUUCAUCCGUGAUUGUACCAAGAUCAUUCCCCGAAUUGUGCAAGAGGUAUAUAUAAUGUGCUAUAUGAUGAAUGUAAUGCGCAAGUAAGGGAUAAACGUUCACACGUACACAAUAGUUUUCGUUACUUUUGUCAAUUCGCCCUUAAGAAUCGCAUAGAAACUUUCAUUGAAUGUGCUAGUACCGCUCCAUGGCUUGUCACCGAAGAAUUCGCCAGUACCUGUCUUGCAAGGGAAUUGUUAGAUGAGAGACUCAAACAAAAAAAAUUGUAUCUGUCAUUGACAAAACCUGGUACGGUUUAAAAGUUUUGAACAAGACAUGAUGCAUUGUAUAUAUAUGUAUAUAUAUAUAUAUAGUCACCUAAAAUGCAAAAGGCCGUAAGUAACAUUUUUAGUAUUUUACAGGAGAAGCAAAAAACGUUAUAGAUUAAAGACUACUUAAAGCUAAAUAUCCAAAUUGUAGAUUUAAGCUUAGAAAACAAAGACGGAUUUGUUUCUGAAAACCAAAUUAAUGGGAAAAAAGCAGUUUUUAAGAAAUGUUAGUUACGGCCUUUUGCACUCUACUUUUCUGAAACCAAAAGGCCGUAACUACUUGAAAAAAAUUGUGUAUAAAAUGAAAGCAAUGGUUAAAGUAAGAAAAUGUGCUUUUAGGCUGUAACCAAAAAAGUUUUUAACAAGUUAUGUCUCUUUGUAUCUAUUUAUUGUAAGUAUUUUAACACAAAAGAAAUUAUUUAAUUAAUACAUUUAAUUCGAGAAAAUAAAAUUAAAUUAAACUGGUUAAGAAAAACAAAAUAAUUAAUUUGAAAACAACAAAACCUGCAAUACAAAUAGUAAAUUAGAGUAGGUUUAACCCUUCUGCUAUGUUAGGAAAAAAUUACACAUAUAGUGUUUUGGGUCAAUUUGACCCACUUAUAAAAACUCCACUAAUAACACUAUUUUAUUGAAAGAGUUCAUAUUUUUUUAUUUGAAUCAACUUAAGUGUAUGUUAAUUGUAGAAAAUAGUUGAGAUAUGUAUGUUUUAACGGCAAUUUUCACAAACUAAGCUGCUGUGUUCCUUGCAAACAAAUUUUUGGCACGUACUACAAACAGCUGAAUAUUUGUUCGAAUUUUUUGUAUGAUGACAGAAGAAACAUCGCUGUCGUUUUUUGGUGGAUUUAUUUCUGGCAGAGCAUAGAGCUGUGCAAAAUAUACUCCAUUUCCGAUAACUAGCUUUCUUUGUCGGCGUUUUUGAUCGAGUGAUGUAAUAAUAAACGGCAAAAUGUUUCAAAAUACAAAUUGACCCAACAACGUAAUAAGUGUAAUGAAAUUACAUUUGGCAUCCUCCAGCAACAUAAAAAACAGAUAUUAUUUUAAUUUUCAUAUUUAUCUAUUCCAUUUACUGCAGUUAACAAAUAGAAGAAGAAUCAAUACAAUACGACUAGACUAACAAGCGAAUUUCGACGAGUUUUACUGAAAAUUGGGUCAAAUUGACCCAAACAUAGCAGAAGGGUUAAGAUGUAAAGGGUAUAUUAUCAUAAAAGCUGUGGCAGUCAGCCGGAAGUAAAAAUUUAAGUUCCUGCAGGUGUUUCCAUUUCUUUUUGGAUAUUGAUAUUCUUUCGGUAUGUAACUGUGAAGGUUCGAUGUCCCUAAAUUUUUGUUGUGUACGUUGUGGCAAAACGUUAUAAUCGUCGUUGAUAUUUGUUUUAUAAUAAAUUAUUCCAGAUGGAUCAUAUGCCAAGGCACGGAUCAUAUUAACAGGCAAAACAAAGGCAAAACACAAUAACACAAUUUGAUAAAGAAUGAAAGAUAAUGAAAACAACUGUAAUUACGGAUAACACAAUGUGUCACAUUGAAAUUGAAUCAAAGAGAAUCAAAAAAGGGUAGUUACGGCUUUUUGGUUUAUGAAAUUGUUGAAGUUGUAGUUGCGGCCUUCUGAUUCUCGCCUAUAAAGUCGUUAUUUUUGGACGUAUGCAUGUAAAAUUUGCUGUGUACACGUGUUUCGGUUAAGUACUUCAUAAUCAAUCAAAAAGUCAAUUUUGUUUUUUUUGUUAGUUACGGCCUUUUGCAUUUUAGGUGACGAUAUGUAGGUUUAUACAAUGACAUGAUGAUAUACAAAAUUAAUAAACAGUAUGAAUUUGGUUUGGCUGUAGCAACAAAAAUAACAUUUGUAUGGGUAUAUUAAGAAUACCAAUAUUCACUUGAACAGAACAGAACAGAAAACAAAAGGGUGUCUUGGUGCACCUUUUCAUAACCUAAAAAUAUGAAAGUACCUCUAAGUACACCAAAAAACACAUUCAUAUAGAUGAUGAUGUCAACCAUUUUCUUUUACAUGCGAAUGAGAUAUCUGACAGCCGUAUUUCUGAAAGCUCUGACUCGGAAUAAUUUUCUAAGCAUUCUUAAAUAGCACAAAAAAUGUGAAGAGGGAAGAUUUUGUAAAAUAUUUAUUUAUGUUAUAAAACAAACGAAGAAUAUGUAAACAUUGGUUUAGAAAAUUUAAUUUUAUAAAUAAUACUAGCAGACCCGGCCACACGUUUUUGUGGCUAAGGUAUACAUUAAAUUAGUAAAUCUUUCAAUGCAUAGAAAAAAUGCUUAUAGCCGAUAAAUUUUAAAAUGAUUGAUAGACAUUAUUGUAGAUCUCUGUUAAGCAUAAAUCAUCAUAAUUAGUAAAACUAUGAUUUUUUUAAUCGUAUAUUGGAGAAAAUAACAAAUGACAAAAUUUCAUAGUUGGCUUUAUCUUGGCUUUGGUGACGAUAUUGAUUACCUUCUUCACAGCCAGUCUUGUUCUUUUGCAAAGUUUGAUGUUGAUUUAUGUUACGCAGCAUGAUGACAACUCACACUACUUUUAAUUGCAAGUGAGUGGGGAUAGUCCAGCAAUUUAAAAUAGUCUGUGGGAUAAUUGAAUACGUCAUCUUGGUUUGUAGCUGUGUCAACUCUCCUUUAACGAAAUUCUAAAUUGUCGCAUUAAGAUCAAAGACAUCCUUGUUUUUUUUACCACCAAUAUAGGUCAUUCAAUCAGCCAUUUAUGUUUAUCAUAUUAUGGUCUCAUAUCAGGAAAAACACGAUGAAUAAGCUCCUCUUUCGAGGCCAUGAAGUGACAGAAACCCGUUAAAAAUGUUAUUAAUUAAUCGAGGUGUCAACUGCGUCGCUACCAUUUCAACUAUUUCUACAAUCGCAGUAUGAUAUUGUUGGAAAAACUCUCAUAUGUUAGUUGUUAAUUGGCGAUUCUUUAUGUGUCGCCACAAAUGAGAUAAUUUUAGGAAUGUGAUUAGUUCGUCAGCAACUGUUGAUCCAGGAAUAGUCUGGCGAAAAUCACCUGCCAACAGAAUCAUGGCUUCACCAAAAAUAUUUUCGUUGUCGCGUAAAUCUUUUAAAGUCCUGUGCAGUACCUCCAGCGACUUGAAUAUCUGGAAAAUCUUUUUUAUAGCUUUUUUUUGUCGAUUUUGCAAACUGGUGUUUCGUUGAUUUGGAAUUUAGGAGUAAUUUCAAGGCCGAAUUGCUGUUUGUCUGACUACUAACAGGUGCCAAGUUGCCCCUAUUCCCAUUAUAACUGGGCGUUGAAAAUGAGUGAAAUCGGUUCAGGAAUUACCUCAACCCUCAUGUACUAUAUAUGGUGAUUUUCGUUAUUCUAUUGGACUUUAUUUCAAAUUGUGUGUAAUAAAAUUACAUCAAUAAAUUGCCAGAGUAUAAAAUGUUCGGUUGCCUUUCCCUACUUGUUACAAAUUGUUUUGGGCUAUCGACAUAGCCUUAUACAAUUGAACGAUAAUAAAAAUAUUUUAACGAAGCAACAAUGACAACUUUCAAAAUAUUAUUAUUUUUUGUUUUGUUUUUUUUUUUUUAUAAUUUUGUUGUCAAUUCAAAUAAAAUCAUAUUCUUGUUAUCUUCCUCAAAAUUUUUCGAUAUAUACAUAUUUUCUAAUCCUUCCCUGACCUUCCAUAAAUAUUUCAAAACUAAAAUUAGCCAGAUCGGUUUGGCCCUUCUCGACUUUUUUCGAGACUAACGACACAAAUUGUUUGUAUGGGUGAUUAGAAAAUUGUGGAUUUAAGACUUUUUCAGGCAAUUUUUCUAAUUUUUCUCUCCGUAAGAACCAUCCCGGUACCUCUAAAAACAUUCUAAACAAAGAAAAAAGACAAUCGGUUCAGCGGUUCUCGAGUUAUGCGCUUAGCAACACAUUUUGCGAUUCAUUUUUAUAUUAUAGAUUACACCUAAAAUUUUGGAGUUAGUAGCAAAGCGUCGCCAUUUUGACCUUUUCCUCACAAUGUGCGUUGUUAACCCAUUACUGUUACCGUGGCAGGUGCUUGCAGCAAAAGCUGCUAUUAGACUCAGGGAAAAUAACUCCAUGAAGCGUGUCAUGAGGGGGUGUAUUCUGUUAGGAGCUUUUUAUAAAACUUAAUUUGCGGUUACCAGACCACUGUAGUGUCUUUCACUGCUCCGAAGUGUAGCAUCCUUCAAGGAGGUGAGCAUUCGUUCCGAUGGCCCUGUGCUCGCUGAAUGUGUGCUAGUUAAGGGCUGUCGUAGGUCACUACCGUUUGCGUCAAAAUAUUUCAGUUUCAGACUCAUAUGGGAGUCGAGUCACAGAGGAAUUGCUGAGAAUUUCAGAACAGCUGAGCUCGCAAGAAGGGGCACCCAUCGUUCUCUUUCCCCAUGCUGGUAACGAGUUGGGGCUCCGUUGUUCUCAGAUUGGACCGCAAGAGUUCGGCGGACUACGUUGUAAUUGUACCUAGUAUACAAUAAUUAAAUACUAACAACAAUUCAAAUCUAAUAAGUUUAAAAUAAUAAAUGUUCAUUUGCUGCUACAGUUGCCUUGCUAAGUCUGAAGGCUUCUUACGUUUCAGUCGGUUUUCUUGUUCAGCAGUUCCGAUGAGUCUGGAUGUUCUUCAUUUACAUGCUGUCUACUAAGCCUCAUUUCGUUAGUCUAUGCAAGUAUGGUUAUUUAAUUUACUACUGAAUUCACACCAAGAUCACGGUGAGGGUCAGCAGAUCUAACAUACCAAGGAGCAUUAUGUUACUACAUACAUACUUCUUAGUACCUCAUUUUGGAAGCGCUGAAUGCAGGCAAUACAGUUUUGACUUGAGCAACUCCAUAGUUGAGCUCCAUAGGCCCAAAUUGGCUUUAGUACUUGAUUAUAUAUAAACAGAUUGCUUUCGAUUGAAAGCGUGGAUCUCCUACCGACUAGAUGGUAAAACUUAGCAAAUUUUAAAUCAAGCUCACCCUUUUUUCUCUUUCCAGAAAGCUUAGCAUCUAGGGUGAUUCCUAGGUGCUUAGCAUUAUUGUGAAAUGGUAUAGGAGUACCAUUUAUAUAAAUGGGAUGGUAUGAUGUUUUUUUAAAAGUAAAGUCUACGUGCAUUGAUUUGGAAUCGUUUAAUUUAAUGCGCCUCUUGGAAGCCCAUUUAGUAAUUGCAUUGACUGCUGUUUGCAAAAGAAGGGUGCGCCAACACGCUUCCCUGGGAACACCCCCAUCGGUUGCAAUUUUGAAUAUGCAUCCUCUUUUUUUAUGCGAUACUCUCUUUUAGGUAGGAAGCAAUUAUUUCGCAAUAUUUCAUUUCAAUUUCAGCAGUAGACCCGAAUGCCAAACUCUAUCAAAAGCCUGAGACACGUCUAAGAAGGCCGCCGAACAAACGUUCUUUUUAUCCAUAGCAUUUUCAACGAAAUUAAAGAUUCGGUGCACCUGGUCAAUUGUUGAAUGGUGAUCACGAAAGCCGAACUGUUGUACUGGUACAAUGUGUUUUCGAUCUAUUAUUGAUUUGAGCCUAUUUAUGAGAACAUUCUCGAACACUUUCGAUAGAGCUGGCAGCAGCGAUAUUGGCCUAUAAGAUGUGACAUCAUGUUGUGGUUUACCCGAAUUAGGUAUCAUAAUAACUUCAGAUACUUUCCAAAGCGAUGGAACGUAUCUUAAGUAUAAUGCACUGUUUACAAUGUUUACAAUUUUUUAUACAAUGCGUUCCUUACAAGAUUUUUAAUUUCUUUACUAGUAACUGGAGAAAUGCUGACGAGUGGAUCCAACCAGCUAUUUUCACAGUUUAGCUCAGGUCCAUCGUUAGGUGUAAAUGUGUUUCUCAAAUGAUUCACCUUACCGCAAUAGUGGAAUCCUAGGAAUCCUGCUGGGCGCAAACUGCCAUAGCUAUAUGGAGGAAGGCGAGGUGGAAACACCAAGUCAUUUCCCCCUCCACAGUCCAACGUUUGCAAGACUGCGGUUGAUAUAUCUCAGGAGCCAUACUUUAGGCGAACUUACCGGAUUAGAGCUCAGAUUUUUUAACCUAACCGAACCUAUCCUCACUAUGAUUCAAUGAAAACGACGCGUAGACGAAGUUGAAAAACAGAAUCGACGAUAACUUGCCAGAAUACUGACCAAAAAUCUGAAAAUUGGUGCGUGUACUUAUUAGACAUUACAAAUAUAAUUUUGUUCACCAUUUUACUUAGAUGUUAUUCGAUGUCCAAUAUAAUAAUAAAAUGAAAAAGUAAACAAUAAAAAAAAUGUUCUAAUAAAUUCGUUUUUUUUUUUUUUGUUGUGAUCGCAAUAGCAAUAUAAAAUCACAGUGAUUUAUAAAUAGCAAUCACUGAAAUCACAGUUAUUCAAAAAUAGUAAUAUCGCUCAUCACUAGCAUACAAGUUUGAACAAAAUUGAAAUGUUUAAAUUUUACGGGUAGCAACGUGUAUAGACCGAUCUCAUUCUUGCUUAAUAUUUGCAGCAGAAGGUUGUGUGCGUGACACGAUAUUUCGAUAAUUUAUUUAAAUUUUACACACUUCUUUGCAAUAACUUUAUCUAAUUAAUGAACUAAGGAUUAUAUAGUACAUAUUUUUUAUUACAACUAUUUUUUAGCCAAUAUUCGCCGAAAACUUGACCAAACAAAUGAGUUUUUUUGUUAAAAAUCUGUCAAAUAUUCAAAUUUUAAUACUUUUUUCCUUCAUUCAUUAACUAGAUUUAACCAAUAACUAUCGAAAUAUUUUUGAUUUAUUGAUUUUAAUAAUAAGUUAUAAUGUCCAGGGCAAGAGCAUUUAUUGGCACUUCAUGGGAGCUAAAGUACCAACGGCUGAGUUUUCGAAAUUUUUAAAUAAAAAUUUUAUAAUAACUAUUUGAUAUGCUGAACUAUUUAAAUGAAAUAUAUGAUUGUAUAGUAUGUAUUAAUUGAAUUGGCAAUAGCGUUUAGGAGUCAAAUUUCAUACUCCUUUCCUUUCAGAAAUCGAAUUUUUCGUCCAUGGCAUAAUACAAAAUUUAAAAUUUUAAUAUCGAGACAGAAUUUUAAAAGAGUUCCUAUAUCAUAUGGAGGCGAACACAAAAUAUUAUAUUUCACUUAUGGAUUGCAUGAAUCAUGUAACAAAGGCAUGGGAUACAGACGUCAAGAGCCAAACAAUAUCAAACCGCAACAAAAUAAAUUUCAGAAUUAAUGUGCAUACAACUUUGCGAGAAGUAAUUAAAUAAAACUGUCUAUAAAGCUUAUUUUACAGUUUUUGAAAAAUUGUAUGUUUUGAUGAAAAGUUCUAUAAUUCAAAGUCUCUCCCAUGCUUUUUUUGGAUUAUAUAAUUCGAGUUAGGGAAGUUAAACUGUAUUUAAAAAAAAAAAAUUAAAAAUACCCCUGCUUUCAGCCUCUGAAACCCAUAUAUUUAUAAAAUUGUUCGCACCAAAAACGUUGUUUUCGUUUUUUUGCUUCUCAUUUUCAGCGCAUACCGAAGAUACAAGUAGCGCUACAAAACCCUCUUCUGAUGCCAUGUCCGUUCACUUCAACGAUUACAUCGAAAUAAUGUCUGAACAACAUGUCGCACAAGUGUAUAGUGAACUGACUUGCGACCCGGUAUACAUACAAGUCUGCAAGUGUAUUUGACGCUUUAGUAUCUGUAUUGGUUUACACACUCUUCCCUGUAGUUCGGUACCAUCGGAGAAGAGCUAACGAUAUAACUAAUUCCGAAUCAUUAGCACCGGUCCCAGCCCGAUUACAUGCAAUGUUAUUUGAUUUGUUGGCGCCCCCGUCCGUGGUUUUUUUUGCAUUCCUCUUGUGUUGCGUUCUUAUUCCUAUUGUAUUAUUAUAUUUAUUCACUUAUUAAAUUAAUUUUCACUUUUUUGCACAUUCCUUUUUCACUAUAUGUAAAAAUAUUCUACAAUUUUCCGUACGCAAAUUACGCAUCUCCCCUUAGUCGGAAAAAUGUGAAAUGACGCGUCAAAUUUUUGGAAAAAAAUUGUGUGACAAAAGAGACUAGAAAAAUGAAUGAAAAAAACAAGUAAGGAAGGGCUAAGUUCGGGUGUAACCGAACAUUUUAUACUCUCGCAAUUUAUUGAUGUAAUUUUAUAAAGACAACACAAUUCGACCCAUAUAUUCGGCAUAAAGUUCAAUAGAAUAACGAAAAUCAUCAUAAAUAGUAUAUGGGGACUGAGGUAAUUCCUAAACCGAUUUCACUCGUUUUCACCACCAAGAUACAACGUAUCGAAGACUAUACGCUCACUUAAUUUAAUAUUACUUAUAAUUAGGUAUAUGGGAUCUGGGGGAAGUUAUGACCCGAUUUUUACCAUUUCAGGUACAGAGAGAAACUGUUAUAAGAAAAAAAUUCAGAGGGAAUGAAUUACAUUAAAAUAUCUGAGGGAUUUACCUAUAUUUUCGGUGAAAAAUUAACCUUAGGCACUGAGUUCUUCAUGUUUGAUAUCAGGGGCCUUGAAAAGUCAUGGUUCGAUUUUGACAAUUUUUCCACAAGUGAUGUCACAGCUCAAAUACAGUAUUUGUGUAAAGUUUUAUUCCGCUAGCUUCAUUGGUUCCUUAUGAAUACAUUAUAAAGUGAACGAAUCAGAUGGAAUUCAAAAUUGGGUUAUAUGGGAAGUAGACGUAGUUGUGAAUCGAUUUCGCCCAUAUUCCACCCGUGUCAUCAGGGUGUCAAGAAAGUGUUAUGUACCGAAUUUCAUUGAAAUCGGUCGAAUAGUUCUUGAGAUAUGGUUUUUGACCCAUAAGUGGGCGACGCCACGCCCAUUUUCCAUUUUGUAAAAAAAUCUCAGUGCAGCUUUCUUCUGCCUUUUUUUAUGUAAAAUUUGGUGUUUCUGACGUUUUUCGUUAGGGAGUUAACCCACUUUUAGUAAUUUUCAACCUAACCUUUGUAUGGGAGGUGGGCGUGGUUAUUAUCCGAUUUCUUUCAUUUUUGGACUGUAUAAGGAAAUGGCUAAAAGAAACGACUGCAGAAAGUUUGGCUUAUAUAGCUUUAUUGGUUUGCGAGUUAUAUACAAAAAACCUAUUUGGGGGCGGGGUCACGCCCACUUUUCCAAAAAAAUUACAUCCAAAUGUGCCCCUCCCUAAUGGGAUCCUAUGUUCCAAAUUUCAUUUUCAUAACUUUAUUUAUGGCUUAGUUAUGACACUGUAUAGGUUUUCGGUUUCCUCCAUUUUGUGGGCGUUGCAGUGGACCGAUUUUCCCCAUUUUCGAAAGCAACCUCCUCAGGGUGCCAAAGAACAUGUGUUCCAAGUUUCAUUAAGAUAUCUUAAUUUUUACUCAAGUUAUCGCUUGCACGGACAGACGGACAGACGGACGGACAGACAUCCGGAUUUCAAAUCUACUCGUCAUCCUGAUCAUUUAUGUAUAUAUAACCCCAUAUCUAACUCUUAUAUUUCUUGGUGACACAAACAACCGUUAUGUGAACAAAACUAUGAUACUCUGUGCAACAGGUUGCGAGAGUAUAACAAACUAGAGUACUGUUUUUAGCGGUGGGUUUUGCCAAUUCAUUUUUCGAGUAGGUAAUGCCUCGUUGUAUUACAAAUCAAUCGAAAAGACUAAUUACUAGUAAUGCAUGAAAUCGCUAGUAGGCUUAGUGCUCCAGUAAUCGCUUGACACCAGCCGAACUACUGGGUUCUUUUUGAUUUUCACUGACAAGUGACAAUCUUAUACCCCUGACAGAGGGCGGCAUUAAUUCAGAUUAACUGCUUUAAUCGGGGUUAAUUCGAGAGUUAUCUCAGUUAACUCCGUUUGCUAAGUCCCAUUUAAUCCUCAAAAUUUUAGAGAGUUAGUGGAAGUUCGUGGCAUUUCAUUGGCAACAUUGUUAAACAUGGCCGCUUUUAACUUAAAUACAAUUAAGCUCACUUUUGAAAUUGGUGACAUCCUUAAUAAGAGACAUCGCGUCUAAUACCCCUGGCAAACGGCGUCGUUAAUUCGGGUUAACUGCUUUAAUCGGGGUUAAUUCGAGAGUUAUCUCAGUUAACUCGGUUUACUAACUCCCAUUUAAUCCUCAAAAUUUUAGAGAGUUAGUGGGACUUCGUGGCAUUUUCGUUGGCAACAUUGUUAAACAUGGCCGCUUUUUAUCUAUUGUGAAUGAAAAUAUGCAAUACUGACAGCUGGUUUUCAAUUAAAUGUAAACAAAAGGAAAAAGUAAACAAGCAAAAAUGACUUGAAGAAAGCAGAGAUCCGGAUGGUCACUCUGUGAUGAAAUUGAGCUAAUUGAUAGGUGGGAAGCGCAUUCCCAAGAUCUUCGCAAGGCAAAGAGGAAUGCGCAUAUUUAUCAAAAUAUGGCCCAGGAAAUGGACAAUAGAUACACGGGUGAGGAGAUUCACUGCAAAGUGAAGAAUUUGGCCAAGAAAUACAGAGAAGAAAAGACUAAAAUGGGCCCAUCUGGCGGUAGCCUAUCUGAAUAGAAACACUACCAGGCAGUGCAUCGAAUCAUCGGGUCCACAGCCGUCAAUUCCACGAUGUGCAUGUCGUCCUAUCAUAUGAAUUCGUUAUCUAUUCAAACGCCUCAGCAACCAUCCGCAAACUGUGCACUGCCAUCUCCGUCAUGUGUGGUGUCGUCACCAUCGUUAAUGUCGGCGUCUCCAUCACCUCCGCUACCGUCUCCAUCGCCUUCGCUACCG